UUUGCUUUAUAAGUAUGUUAAUAUUUUCUCAUGUAUUUUAGGGUGUUGGUGAUCCUAAAUGGGUAUAGAAUUUUCUGUUCGAAAAUUUAUGUGCAUAUAAGGUUAUUUUUACUAUUAAGGUAGACAAAUUCAAUAUGUCACCACACUACGUGCGUCUGUUUACUGUAACUAAGUACAACGGUGACAUAAAACAUGUUGAUAACUCCUUUAAGAAUACUCCCACGAUUGAUAAUAGUACGGUUGUUCUAAGAAAUGAUGAAGAUGAUUAUAUAGUCGAAGAUGAAUAUGAAUCUUUGUCUAAAAUUUCUGAUUAUGAAUGGGAGCUAUCAGAUCUAGCGUUAUGGGGACCAUGUUUUGAUUUCAUACCAUCAACAAUUUCAACAAUGGAUGCUUGUCAUAGUAAAUAAAAUGAUGGUGUUGAAACAUGUAUAUCUGCUAUAAAUGAUGUGGAAGAUGAAGAAAGUGAGAAUGUUGGUCAUGAAAAUAUUGAAACUUAUAUUUGUACCACACCUACUUCUAGCUACACGUUACAACAAGUUGAAGACAUUCAAGUAGCUUCUACUCAAAUAGAAGUUGAUUUUUUAGAAGAAUCAUGUAUCGGGUCGUCAAUAACACCAAAGAAGCGUCAACUUCCAAAAUUGUGUGAGGAUUCUACUGAUGAUGAUAUUCCUACUUGACUUUAGAGUAAUUAAACUUCACAUUUGACUUUUCAUUUUAACUUAAUUUCAUUUCAUACUAAGUUACUUUAUUGAUUUGAUAUUUGUUUUAUGGCCUUUUGAUGCU